rnacentral:rRNA from 1 species
CCGAAUGGGGAAACCCAGUGUGACUCGUCACACUAUCAUUAACUGAAUCCAUAGGUUAAUGAGGCGAACCGGGGGAACUGAAACAUCUAAGUACCCCGAGGAAAAGAAAUCAACCGAGAUUCCCCCAGUAGCGGCGAGCGAACGGGGAGGAGCCCAGAGCCUGAAUCAGCAUGUGUGUUAGUGGAAGCGUCUGGAAAGGCGCGCGAUACAGGGUGACAGCCCCGUACACAAAAGCGCAUGUGCUGUGAGCUCGAUGAGUA